UUUAUGGAGAGUUUGAUCCUGGCUCAGGAUGAACGCUGGCGGCGUGCCUAAUACAUGCAAGUCGAGCGAACAGACGAGGAGCUUGCUCCUUUGACGUUAGCGGCGGACGGGUGAGUAACACGUAGGUAACCUACCUAUAAGACUGGGAUAACUUCGGGAAACCGGAGCUAAUACCGGAUAAUAUUUCGAACCG
rnacentral:rRNA from 1 species